GAUGGCACCGCACCCACCUGCUUCGUUCUCCCUCUCAGCCCCACACGCUCAAGCAGUGCUUUUUAGCCCUCAUUUCCAGGGGAGAAAAGUUUUUAAAAAGUCAGCACUACCCGUUAAAGAUCUUUCCUCUAAAGGAUUAAAAACCCCUGGGAAAGUGUAUAAGGCACCCAUCAUACACCCCACAGAGUCUGGCCUGACUGCUGGUUUUGGUCUUGUUCAUCUCUCACAGAUGCAAGAUGUCACUCAUCAUUAUUUCUGUAAUAAUUUUAAAAACCUUUUUUUUUUUCUCUCAGCAUAUUCUUUGAGAACUUCUUAUGUUUCUAAGCAUUCUGUUUGUAUCAGGGAUAAACUAAUAAGCAAGGAGUGAUUUAAUGGAAGAACCUCAGGAGAUUACAGCUGAAGGUUUCCAAGAUUCUUCACCCUUAGCACUAUGGUUGGAGUCGACCUUAAAGGUCUUCUCCAACCUAAAUGGUGCUAUGAUCAUUCUUUACAUUUAAAACCUUUUGGAUCAGGUCACAAUCGUGUAUUUUUGUUCCUUUUCCAUCCUGGAAGGACUUUGCCAGGGGACGCCAGCAGUUAAGGCCUCAGAGGCUCAGUUGAUCCACAAAGGAGUCACCAGAGCGUGCUCAGGAUGGUCUCUGUGACUUGCCAGGUGAUGACAUUUCAGCACACCGUGCCUGUGUGUGGUGAUGUCACCAGUGAGUCCUAGGCUGUGCUGUGACAUGGCCACGCUGUGCCCCAGAAUAAACGAUGCACACUCCUGACGCUCAGUUUGCCUUGGACACGCUCCCACAAACAGCCACACGUGAGCCAGAGUCCAAGGAAAAGCUGCAACGAGUGCUUCACGUCAAGGGAGCGCUGAGAUUUACGUACGAAAGUGCUGGGGAACACCGCCCGGGCAGGAGGAACAGCCACUGCCACCCACUCGGCACGGGUCAGAAGCAAGCAGGUGUUUUCUGGUUCAACCUUGUGGCACUGCGGGCCACGUUCCAGUGUCCUGUGUGUGCAUGUGCAUGAACACCACAAUGUGACAACGCAGCACAGCUCCCUUUCCUUCUCAGCUUCCGCUGGCAGAAGGCGACACAAUAAAAACUGCAAGCCCAGUCAACCUUUCCAAAGCACUGAAGACAACCAGAGGCCUUUCAAAAUGGCUUCUCAAAGCCUCUCCAUAAAGGCUUCCCAAGCACGUUCCUGUCUCCUCUUCCAGAGUGCAGAGAAAUUGCUCCAUCCCCGGCAAGUUCUCCGCUGAGUGGAGCACACGCACAUCAACUCGAUUUUAACAGGUCACGGAACAAGCCGGGCAUUUAAAAAUAUCCACCUACCCAAAAGGACAAAUGAAUCCGCACUGUGGAGCCCUCAGCAAAGAUGGUUGGAACAAAACAAACAAAACAAUCGUGGUAA